UCCACUCACUAUUGUAAGUCGCUCUGGAUAAGAGCGUCUGCUAAAUGACUCAAA
rfam:Salmo salar isolate Sally breed double haploid chromosome ssa13, whole genome shotgun sequence.